rnacentral:misc_RNA from 1 species
UUAAGUUCAGCGGGUAUCCCUACCUGAUCCGAGGUCAACCUGAAAAAUUUAGGGGUUAGGGCAGGUAGCUCCCGGGCAUCUGUAGCGAGAAAUUUACUACGCUUAGAGCCAGGCAGCACCGCCGCUCGUUUUAGGGCACACCGUUACCGAUGAGGCCCAAUACCAAGCAGAGCUUGAGGGUUGUAAUGACGCUCGAACAG